GACGAACCGUGCGAACGUUCUUCGGAUUCACUGGGCUUAAAGGGCGCGUAGGCGGGCGGUCAAGUCAGGGGUGAAAUCUUUCGGCCUAACCGGAAAAGGGCCUCUGAUACUGGCCGUCUCGAGGGAGGUAGGGGCAUGCGGAACUUCCGGUGGAGCGGUGAAAUGCGUAGAUAUCGGAAGGAACGCCGGUGGCGAAAGCGGCGUGCUGGACCUCUUCUGACGCUGAGGCGCGAAAGCCAGGGGAGCGAACGGG
rnacentral:rRNA from 1 species